rnacentral:rRNA from 1 species
UACAGAGGGUGCAAGCGUUGUUCGGAAUUACUGGGCGUAAAGCGCGUGUAGGCUGCGGUGUAAGUCGGACGUGAAAGCCCUUGGCUUAACCAAGGAAGUGCGUCCGAUACUGCGUCGCUUGAGUGUCGGAGGGGGCGGCGGAAUUCCCGGUGUAGAGGUGAAAUUCGUAGAUAUUCGGAAGAACACCAGUGGCGAAGGCGACUUACUGGACACAUAUUGACGCUGAGGUGCGAAAGCGUGGGGAGCAAACAGGG